AUGAAGGACGUUACUAACGACGAUAUGCUUUGGGUAGCUGUAAGUAAGCGUUGAUCCAGAGAUUUCCGAAUGGGGGAACCCAGCAUGAGUUAUGUCAUGUUAUCGACAUGUGAAUUCAUAGCAUGUCAGAAGGCAGACCCGGAGAACUGAAACAUCUUAGUACCCGGAGGAAGAGAAAGAAAAAUCGAUUCCCUGAGUAGCGGCGAGCGAAACGGGAAUAGCCCAAACCAACAAGCUUGCUUGUUGGGGUUGUAGGACACUCUAUACGGAGUUACAAAAGAACAUGUUAGACGAAUCAUCUGGAAAGAUGAAUCAAAGAAGGUAAUAAUCCUGUAGUCGAAAACAUAUUCUCUCUUGAGUGGAUCCUGAGUACGACGGAGCACGUGAAAUUCCGUCGGAAUCUGGGAGGACCAUCUCCUAAGGCUAAAUACUCUCUAGUGACCGAUAGUGAACCAGUACCGUGAGGGAAAGGUGAAAAGUACCCCGGAAGGGGAGUGAAAGAGAACUUGAAACCGUGUGCUUACAAGUAGUCAGAGCCCGUUAAUGGGUGAUGGCGUGCCUUUUGUAGAAUGAACCGGCGAGUUACGAUCUGAUGCAAGGUUAAGCAGCAAAUGUGGAGCCGCAGCGAAAGCGAGUCUGAAUAGGGCGUUGAGUAUUUGGUCGUAGACCCGAAACCAGGUGAUCUACCCUUGGUCAGGUUGAAGUUCAGGUAACACUGAAUGGAGGACCGAACCGACUUACGUUGAAAAGUGAGCGGAUGAACUGAGGGUAGCGGAGAAAUUCCAAUCGAACUUGGAGAUAGCUGGUUCUCUCCGAAAUAGCUUUAGGGCUAGCCUCAAGUGAUGAUUAUUGGAGGUAGAGCACUGUUUGGACGAGGGGCCCCUCUCGGGUUACCGAAUUCAGACAAACUCCGAAUGCCAAUUAAUUUAACUUGGGAGUCAGAACAUGGGUGAUAAGGUCCGUGUUCGAAAGGGAAACAG
rnacentral:rRNA from 1 species